AAAUUAAUUUUACAUGCCUUAUAACCUUCUCGUGAAACAUAUUUUAAAUGCUAUGUAAGGUAUAAAUGAGAUAUUAAAAAGCACUUGAAGCCUAAAAUAGCUUUUCACAAUACAGCAUAAUUGUGAUUUGUUUAAUGGGUUACAGUUAGGAAAUACGUUCCGGAAAGUAGUAUUUUUUCUUCUUACAUCUUAUUAGGUGUUGAUGUCAGACUUUUCUUUUUCCCCUUUUUCUCCCUUUUCCAUGUAGGUGAUUUUGCUCAGCUCAAUUUAAAGAUCAAGUUUUUGGAAGCUGGCAUCUAUGAAGUUCCCAUCGUUAUCACAGAUUCAGGGAAUCCCCCCAAGUCCAAUAUUUCCAUCCUGCGUGUGAAAGUUUGCCAAUGUGACUCCAAUGGAGACUGCACCGACGUAGACAGGAUCGUGGGUGCAGGGCUUGGCACGGGCGCCAUCAUCGCGAUACUUCUGUGUAUCAUCAUCCUGCUGAUCCUUGUCCUCAUGUUCGUGGUAUGGAUGAAACGCCGGGAUAAAGAGCGCCAGGCCAAGCAGCU
rnacentral:lncRNA from 1 species